rnacentral:rRNA from 1 species
ACGCUCGACACCUACGGAGGCAGCAGUGGGGAAUAUUGCACAAUGGGGGAAACCCUGAUGCAGCGACGCCGCGUGGAGGAAGAAGGUCUUCGGAUUGUAAACUCCUGUUGUUGGGGAAAAAGAGGAUGGUACCCAACAAGGAAGUGACGGCUAACUACGUCGCCGCAGCCGCGGUAAUCUGAGCGGGCUGGCAAGGC